GAUUCUGACGUGCAAAUCGAUCGUCUGAGCUGGGUAUAGGGGCGAAAGACUAAUCGAACCAUCUAGUAGCUGGUUCCCUCCGAAGUUUCCCUCAGGAUAGCUGGCGCUCGUUAACUAGUUUCAUCGGGUAAAGCGAAUGAUUAGAGGCCUCGGGGAAGAAAUUUCCUCGACCUAUUCUCAAACUUUAAAUCAGGUGAGCACUUCGACCCGCCUAGGCGGGGUCGGAGAUCGAAUGCAGAGUGCCCAGUGGGCCAUUUUUGGUAAGCAGAAACUGGCGAUGCGGGAUGAACCGAAAGCUUGACUGCGGCGCCCUAUGCUGAGACGCUCAUCAGAUCUACGGGAAAGGUGUUGGUUGAUAUAGACAGCAGGACGGUGGCCAUGGAAGUCGGAAUCCGCUAAGGAGUGUGUAACAACUCACCUGCCGAAUCAACCAGCCCUGAAAAUGGAUGGCGCUGUAGCGUUGAAAGCCUAAGUCAAGCGGCAGGGGGAAGUGCUGGUAACCCCCUGCCAGUAGGAGGGUCGUUGUGGUGAGCGCAGAAGCCUCAGGCGUAGGCCUAGGUGGAGCCUCCACAAGUGCAGAUCUUGGUGGUAGUAGCAAAUAUUCAAACGAGAACUUUGAAGGCUGAAGUGGAGAAGGGUUCCAUGGGAACAGCAGUUGGCCAUGGGUCAGUCGAUCCUAAGGCGCAGGAGAAGUCUGUUGACGAGCGCUAACCCGGGAACCCUCGCGGGUUCCAGGGUGCGUGAUCCUGCCGAAAGGGAAUCGGGUUAAUAUUCCCGAACCUGGACACGGAAAUCGCUGGUUUCAUUCAGCGUUGGGUUGGGAAGGUGCCCUCGCGGUGCUGACCCAUCUCCAUCGUCGAUUCCAGCAUGAGCGGUAACGCAAACGAACUCGGUGACGUUGCCGAGAGCCCUGGAAAGAGUUCUCUUUUCUCUGUAAGGAUCGGGAUCCCUGGAAUCAGUUUGGCUGGAGAUAGGGAAAUCCGUUUCCGUAGAGCACCGCGGCUCUUGCGGUGUCUGGUGCGCUCUUGGUGACCCUUGAAAAACCCGGGGGAGAUUAUUGGUUUUCGUGCCAGUCCGUACCGAUAUCCGCAGCAGGUCUCCAAGGUGAAAAGCCUCUAGUCAUGUAGAACAAUGUAGGUAAGGGAAGUCGGCAAAUUAGAUCCGUAACUUCGGGAGAAGGAUUGGCUCUGAGGGCUAAGCCGAUCAGGCCGGGAACCCAAAGUUGGUGGGCCAUGGGAACGUGUCGCUUCCGGCGGAUCCUCAUGGGUCUGCUGGUUGUGGUCGUUUCCUAGGUUCCCAACGGAAGGUCCCAGCUGCAAGCACGCGAGUGUCGGCGGAGGGGCGCAAGCUCAGCCGUCUCGAUCGGCCAUGGAUAGCCAACUCAGAACUGGCACGGACCGAGGGAAUCCGACUGUUUAAUUAAAACAUAGCAUUGCGAUGGUCGUAGGGCGAUGUUGACGCAAUGUGAUUUCUGCCCAGUGCUCUGAAUGUCAUGCUGAAGAAAUUCUGUCAAGCGCGGGUAAACGGCGGGAGUAACUAUGACUCUCUUAAGGUAGCCAAAUGCCUCGCCAUCUAAUUAGUGGCGCGCAUGAAUGGAUGAACGAGAUUCCCACUGUCCCUAUCUACUAUCUAGCGAAACCGCAGCCAAGGGAACGGACUUGGAAAAAUCAGCGGGGAAAGAAGACCCUGUUGAGCUUGACUCUAGCUCGAAACGCGACGAGACACGAGAGGCGUAGAAUAGGUGGGAGCUUUACGGCGUCGGUGAAAUACCACUACUCUUGUCGUUUCUUUACUUACUCGGUUAAGCGGAUGCUGGUGAGCUUACCCAUUGCGGGUGCUCUCCUUUAUUCUGGUCUUAAGCUUAGGCCUCGGCUUGAGCGAUCUGCCCCGAGGACAUUUUCAGGCGGGGAGUUUGACUGGGGCGGUACAUCUGUCAAAAGAUAACGCAGGUGUCCUAAGGCGAGCUCAGCGAGGACGGAAACCUCGCGUAGAGCAAAAGGGCAAAAGCUCGCUUGAUCUUGAUUUUCAGUACGAAUACAGACCGUGAAAGCGUGGCCUAUCGAUCCUUUUGAUUAUGAGAGUUUCAUGCAAGAGGUGUCAGAAAAGUUACCACAGGGAUAACUGGCUUGUGGAGGCCAAGCGUUCAUAGCGACGUCACUUUUUGAUCAUGAGAUGUCGGCUCUUCCUAUCAUUGCGAAGCAGAAU
rnacentral:rRNA from 1 species